GAUCUCUCCGUGAAGAAGCGGGGAUACAAAUAUAAGACGAGAAGACCCCAUGGAGCUUUAAACCCAACGACACCCAUUUUCUUUAUACCCUAGUAUUCAUUUGGCUAUGUUUGAUUGGUUUUAGGUUGGGGUGACCACGGAGCAUAAAAUAACCUCCACGAAGAAGAGACUAAUAAUCUUUAUCAAAGAAGUACACUUCUAAGAAUUAACAAAUUAAUUUCCAAUGAUCCGAUAUUCGAUCAACGAACCAAGUUACCCUGGGGAUAACAGCGCAAUCCACCUCAAGAGCUCCUAUCGACAGGUGGGUUUAC
rnacentral:rRNA from 1 species